UACGGAGGGUGCAAGCGUUGUUCGGAAUGAUUGGGCGUAAAGAGCGCGUAGGCGGUUUAUUAAGUCGAUUGUGAAAUCCCCGGGCUUAACCCGGGACGUGCAGUCGAAACUGGUAAUCUUGAAUACCUGAGAGGUUGGUAGAAUUCCUGGUGUAGGAGUGAAAUCCGUAGAUAUCAGGAGGAACAUCGGUGGCGAAGGCGGCCAACUGGCAGUGUAUUGACGCUGAGGCGCGAAAGCGCGGGUAGCAAACAGG
rnacentral:rRNA from 1 species